ensembl:ncRNA K02E10.9 ncRNA
AAAGUGCAACGGAAAUUGUGACGGGUCAAGGGGGGAGUAGAAAAAAAGAAAGAAUGACAGAUGGGAGCAUGUC